rnacentral:rRNA from 1 species
GGCGGUCUGUCAAGUCGGAUGUGAAAUCCCCGGGCUCAACCUGGGAACUGCAUUCGAAACUGGCAGGCUUGAGUCUUGUAGAGGGGGGUAGAAUUCCAGGUGUAGCGGUGAAAUGCGUAGAGAUCUGGAGGAAUACCGGUGGCGAAGGCGGCCCCCUGGACAAAGACUGACGCUCAGGUGCGAAAGCGUGGGGAGCAAACAGGAUUAGAUACCCUGGUAGUCCACGCCGUAAACGAUGUCUACUUGGAGGUUGUGCCCUUGAGGCGUGGCUUCCGGAGCUAACGCGUUAAGUAGACCGCCUGGGGAGUACGGCCGCAAGGUUAAAACUCAAAUGAAUUGACGGGGGCCCGCACAAGCGGUGGAGCAUGUGGUUUAAUUCGAUGCAACGCGAAGAACCUUACCUGGUCUUGACAUCCACAGAAGAAUCCAGAGAUGGAUUUGUGCCUUCGGGAACUGUGAGACAGGUGCUGCAUGGCUGUCGUCAGCUCGUGUUGUGAAAUGUUGGGUUAAGUCCCGCAACGAGCGCAAC